GAUGAAGAACGUAGCGAAAUGCGAUAAGUAAUGUGAAUUGCAGAAUUCAGUGAAUCAUCGAAUCUUUGAACGCACCUUGCGCCUUUUGGUAUUCCGAAAGGCACACCUGUUUGAGCGUCAUGAAUACCUCAAUCUCCAUCUUUUCUUCGGAUUGAUGGGUGACUUGGAUGUUGAGCCCUGCUGGUAUGCUAUAUCAGCUGGCUUUAAACUUAUUAGCCGGCUCUGUACUGGAUCGGUUUGACUCGACGUGAUAAUAUUAUCGUUGAGGAUGCAUGUCUCAUGCAGCCGGAAAGUAUCAAAGCAGCUUCUAGCGUGCCUUUAGUGCACUUUUACAUUUUAGACCUCAGAUCAGGUGGGACUACCCGCUGAACUUAAGCAUAUCAAUAAGCGGAGGA
rnacentral:misc_RNA from 1 species